rnacentral:rRNA from 1 species
GAUCCUGGCUCAGGAUGAACGCUAGCUACAGGCUUAACACAUGCAAGUCGAGGGGCAGCAUGACCUAGCAAUAGGUUGAUGGCGACCGGCGCACGGGUGAGUAACACGUAUCCAACCUACCGGUUAUUCCGGGAUAGCCUUUUCGAAAGAAAGAUUAAUACCGGAUAGUAUAACGAGAAGGCAUCUUUUUGUUAUUAAAGAAUUUCGAUAACCGAUGGGGAUGCGUUCCAUUAGUUUGUUGGCGGGUAACGGCCCACCAAGACG